GGCCGCCUGGCGAAAUGGCAUCGCGUCUGACUACGACGAGAAGGUAUCAGGAGAUUGCAGGUUCGACCCCUGCGGUGGUCA
rnacentral:tRNA from 1 species